rnacentral:lncRNA from 10 species
GUGGAACUUGAGUCAUGUCUCCCAGAUUUUGUGACACAACCCCAAAUCAGAGCUCCAAAACCUAAAGUCAUUACCACCAAAGCUGGUUUUCUGAAGAGGGCAGCAAGGUUGGACUAUGAGUUGGCAGAGGUUCAUAAGGCACUGUUGGAUAAGAAGAAUAAAGUUCUUGAAGUAAAGAAACCCCCUCGCUUCCUUCAAAGAAACCCAAUACCUCAACCUCGGCUUCCAACUCCAACCUUGGAAAUGACGUCCAAUGAAGAAGAAGAAAUGGAAAUGGCUGUGAUCUACCUUCAAAAGUUACUCCGGGGCAGAGUCGUUCAGAACAUGGUGUGUAGGUCCAACCGCUGGCCCUGCAUUUCUCUUUUGAGAAUAAAUUUUUUA